rnacentral:pre_miRNA from 1 species
AGCCAGACUGAGGCCCUCUCUUGUUACCAAGUGGGAGUAAGUGCUUUCUAGUUUGGUUAU